GGCCUACGGGACGCAGCAGUGAGGAAUAUUGGUCAAUGGGCGCAAGCCUGAACCAGCCAAGUCGCGUGAGGGAUGACGGUCCUAUGGAUUGUAAACCUCUUUUGUCGGGGAGCAAGGCCCGCCACGUGUGGCGGGAAGGAGAGUACCCGAAGAAAAAGCAUCGGCUAAAUCCGUGCCAGCAGGCGCGGGAAUACGGAGGAGGCGAGCGUUAUCCGGGUUUAUUGGGUUUAAAGGGGG
rnacentral:rRNA from 1 species